GAGAGAGAGAGAGAGAGAGGGGAGCAGAUGUAAUGCCUAGUAAAAGGUUUAAGUUCUACAAAAACCUAGACUUCUAAUGAUUUAACAAAAGCUUCUUGUUUCUCAAUCAUGGAUCUCAAAGAAAUGGAAAUCAACAGAGUUAGAUAACCAAAAGUAAGCAUAAUAUUUAUGAAUCUAAUUAGAAAUGCAUUACAGUUUUGAAGGAACAUAAAACUUGCAAAUUUAUACCUGAUGUAGGAUCAUAGGUUUGUU
rnacentral:misc_RNA from 1 species